rnacentral:rRNA from 1 species
UCCCUAGUAACUGCGAGUGAAGCGGGAAAAGCUCAAAUUUAAAAUCUGGCAGUCUCUGGCUGUCCGAGUUGUAAUCUAGAGAAGUGUUAUCCGCGCUGGACCAUGUACAAGUCUCCUGGAACGGAGCGUCAUAGAGGGUGAGAAUCCCGUCUUUGACAUGGACUCCCAGGGCUUUGUGAUGCACUCUCAAAGAGUCGAGUUGUUUGGGAAUGCAGCUCAAAAUGGGUGGUAAAUUCCAUCUAAAGCUAAAUAUUGGCGAGAGACCGAUAGCGAACAAGUACCGUGAGGGAAAGAUGAAAAGAACUUUGGAAAGAGAGUUAAACAGUACGUGAAAUUGUUGAAAGGGAAACGCUUGAAGUCAGUCGCAUUGGCCAGGGAUCAACCUUACAUUUGUUGGGUGUACUUUCUGGUUAAUGGGUCAGCAUCAAUUUUGACUGUUGGAAAAAGGUCAGGGGAAUGUAGCAUCCUCGGAUGUGUUAUAGCCCUUGGUUGUAUACAGCAGUUGGGAUUGAGGAACUCAGCACGCCGCAAGGCCGGGUUUUUACCACGUACGUGCUUAGGAUGCUGGCAUAAUGGCUUUAAUCGACCCGUCUUGAAACACGGACCAAGGAGUCUAACAUGCCUGCGAGUGUUUGGGUGGAAAACCCAUGCGCGUAAUGAAAGUGAAAGUUGAGAUCUCUGUCGUGGAGAGCAUCGACGCCCGGACCAGACCUUUUGUGACGGUCCCGCGGUAGAGCAUGUAUGUUGGGACCCGAAAGAUGGUGAACUAUGCCUGAAUAGGGUGAAGCCAGAGGAAACUCUGGUGGAGGCUCGUAGCGAUUCUGACGU